rnacentral:rRNA from 1 species
GCUAUGUUCGGAAAAGAUAACCGCUGAAAGCAUCUAAGCGGGAAACUUGCCUCAAGAUGAGAUCUCACUGGGAACUUGAUUCCCCUGAAGGGCCGUCGAAGACUACGACGUUGAUAGGCUGGGUGUGUAAGCGUUGUGAGGCGUUGAGCUAACCAGUACUAAUUGCCCGUGAGGCUUGACCAUAUAACACCCAAACA